rnacentral:lncRNA from 1 species
CCAUCCAUAUAACAUAAUCCACUACUUACUGUCCGUGAGAAUUCGAAAACAACGAUUUACAGUAAGCGCAUCGAUACCCCCUUCUUUAUUGCUCGCGCCUGCCAGGUAUAUUUGUCGGCACAACGGCACACCGUUUAUCCCACAAAUCCGAUCAAUUUUAGGCGAAGUCUGAUCCCUAAAAUUAUAAACUCAAAUUUUGCUAGAAAAAUAUAACCAUUCUCGUCUUGCAAAAAUCUCUUAUCUCGCUGGAUCCAGAUUUGGUAGCCGAAAAAAAAAUUCCUCGUCCUUAGAGAGCACUGAUAGAUCAGAGGUCGUCUUCAAGGCGGUGAAACGAACUCAUCAAAGGGGAUGAUGGGGAUCGUCUAAUUGAAUUUUCAUGAAUCUCACUGACGACGAGAUAUGCAAGUGAGAUGAGGAUUAACAGGGCAUAGGAGGUGGUGGGAAAUGAUGGACGUUGGUGAGGCAUGGAAAAGGAGAAGAUGAAUGGUGGUCUUCUUUCCGUCGCCGAGAGAAGAAAAGCACAAGAAGAGAUGGUAGUUGGAAAGAGAGAAAUAUCGAA